rnacentral:rRNA from 1 species
GACGAACGCUGGCGGCGUGCCUAAUACAUGCCAGUUGAGCGAUGAAGAUUGGUGCUUGCACCAAUUUGAAGAGCAGCGAACGGGUGAGUAACGCGUGGGGAAUCUGCCUUUGAGCGGGGGACAACAUUUGGAAACGAAUGCUAAUACCGCAUAAUAACUUUAAACAUAAGUUUUAAGUUUGAAAGAUGCAAUUGCAUCACUCAAAGAUGAUCCCGCGUUGUAUUAGCUAGUUGGUGAGGUAAAGGCUCACCAAGGCGAUGAUACAUAGCCGACCUGAGAGGGUGAUCGGCCACAUUGGGACUGAGACACGGCCCAAACUCCUACGGGAGGCAGCAGUAGGGAAUCUUCGGCAAUGGACGAAAGUCUGACCGAGCAACGCCGCGUGAGUGAAGAAGGUUUUCGGAUCGUAAAACUCUGUUGGUAGAGAAGAACGUUGGUGAGAGUGGAAAGCUCAUCAAGUGACGGUAACUACCCAGAAAGGGACGGCUAACUACGU